AUCAUGGCUCAGGAUGAACGCUAGCGGCAGGCUUAACACAUGCAAGUCGAGGGGCAGCAUGACGGAACCUUCGGGUUUUGUUGAUGGCGACCGGCGCAAGGGUGCGUAACGCGUGAGCAACUUGCCCGUUUCAGGGGGAUAACCGGUGGAAACGCCGACUAAUACCCCAUAGUAUCAUUAUUAGGCAUCUUUAAUGAUUAAAGAAUUUUGGAAACGGAUAGGCUCGCGUGACAUUAGCUAGAUGGCGGGGUAACGGCCCACCAUGGCGACGAUGUCUAGGGGUUCUGAGAGGAAGGUCCCCCACACUGGAACUGAGACACGGUCCAGACUCCUACGGGAGGCAGCAGUGAGGAAUAUUGGUCAAUGGUCUGACGACUGAACCAGCCAUGCCGCGUGAAGGUCACGGCCCUAUGGGUCUUAAACUUCUUUUGUAAGGGAGCAAUAAGUCCUACGUGUAGGAUGAUGAGAGUACCUUACGAAUAAGCAUCGGCUAACUCCGUG
rnacentral:rRNA from 1 species